rnacentral:lncRNA from 1 species
AGGUGUGUAGUAAGUGGAAUGGGGAGGGAAGGUUGAGCUUUGCUCUUUCUAAUUUGGGCCAAGUCUAGCUACAUACUGUUCUUUUAUGGGUUCCUUUAUGGAUUCCCCACUUUCGGAGAAACACUAACAAACUGAAUAUUAACUAGAACUGUGAUAUGGUAAGACUAGAAUCAUCUGUUGAAAACAUAGUUGAAAGACUUUGGGAUGUACAUGAAAAGAUUCAUUGAGACUAACUAGUAUUUUUGAUAGCUCAUCCCAUAGGAGAGGCCCUAAAGGGAAGGAAUUGGAGUUGUACUGGAUGGCCAGUGGGUGACAGAGAUAGAGAGGUAUGUUUUAGAUCAAUAUAAGGGAAUGCUUUCUAAUGUUCUAAGAGGGAAUUGACUGCCUCGGUGAGCAGUAAACUCAGGUUGGCUUAAUGAACACUUUGCAUGAUGUUGUAGCAAAGAUUCAGACUUCAAGAGGAUGAUUGGCUUAGAUGUCCCUGAAGGUUCUUUCUGAACUUGACAUUAUUCAUUCUCUUAUCUCCUCCUUCCAUCACAUCUAGAUCUUAUGUUUGUUGUCUGGUGCUCAUUAUGAGAGUUUGUUUCAAGAGUCUCUGAGAUGCUGCUAUUUAUCUUUUCAAAGGCUUUAUUCUUAGUAUUUUUUUACUUCAAAUUGGAAGAAAAAUGGGCGUUUUUCCUAUUUCUGAAAAGAAAAGCUUUGUUAAUGAUUUCUUAAUAUUUAUAAAUAUGUAAGUAUAUAUGGUAUAUUGUAAAUAUUGUUCACAUUUUUUCAUCAGCCUGUGUAACUGAUACUGUUUCAUAAACUAUCAUGUAAGGCAAAUGUGAACAGAUUAAAAAUAGUUUCUGUAUAUUUUAUUUAGACCAGCAAACUUUAUAAUCUGACGAUCAAGAUAAAGCUUAAUCAAGCUUUUGAAUGUGAUGUGCCCCGAAAAUGGAUUUAUUAUAGAAUACCUACAGAAUUCUUCCUGCCAUUAAUCAGACUGAUUUUAAUGGAUAUGUUGAUAUCAAUUUGUUGUACUGUCCAUUUCUGGAUGAUUAAAUCUUGGACCAAAGUUAAGUUUUUGUAUUUCUUCUUAUUCUAAAUUUCAAAUUGUGCUUUCCUGGGAAAUGAGCUAUUUUGAUUUAAUUUUUGAGUGAGUAGAAGUAUGUCAUAAAUGCAUUAAAUACAUGUAUAUACAAGUCUUUUUAUCAUUUAAUACCACAAGUAUACACAAAUCUAUUAUAAAAAGUUGAAAUUUCAAAGACUUACGCAAAAACGUAUACUUUCAGACCUUACAUGGCAUCAUUUGCAGUUGAGAGAAUUGUAAACAAAUAUAAAGACACAGUUUUAAAUUAUAACUGUAUAAAAUCUGUAGUAGUUACUGUUCCUACUGUUAUAAUUUCAUAGCCACCUUCUGUUGCUGUUGUGGUGUUGUAGCAAAAAUGGUAUGAGUCAUUUUUGUGUGUGUGUUUUAAAUAACAGUGUUUCCAACACUGAAUUAUGAAUUUGACCGUAACACUCUAUGCCAUAAAAAUUUUAUAACAACUCAUUCAUUAGUGUAUAGUCUAGGCUACUGUGAAGCGCUUGUAUCAAUUGCACUAGGCUACUAUAAAGCAAUCACAUUGCUGCUUCUUCACUAUUAAUGCAUAAAUCACUAUACCUGUAAAUAAAUAUGAAUUUCCUUUUCACAUUAUGUCUUUAUUUUUUAUGUUCAGUGUUAGUAUUAUGUAUGACAUAUAUAGUGUUUUAUAUUGUAUAUGGCAGUAUUGAUAUAGGUACUCACAGGCAAUUCAACUUGUAAAUCAAUGAUGCAAACUUAUGGAAAAAAGACAUAGGUUAAAUUUUUGGUGUCUCGUUUUCUAGACAAUUUCCUAGAAUCAGUUGUUUAGGCCAGAGAGAUUUUCUCCCUGGAUUGUCAGAGAGUUUGGGAAGAAAAUAUUCAAAUUAUUUUUAUAGUUAAUUUCCUCUGAAAAGUAAGAAAUAUGAAUUUACUAAUAUGUACUAUGUGGUUUAACACUGGUGCCUUUAUGCUGCCCACUUUUCAAGUAGCCAUAUGUUCUCAUAUGUUCUAAAGAGUCUCUUAGCUAUUCUAGGAAGAGUGGGGCAGUCAACCAUAGAGCUCAUAUUUAUUAGUUUACUUUCAACAUGUCAUAGUUUACUGUAGUGUUUGUCUUUCUGGUUAAGUAGGUGAGCCUAUAAUACUAUCUAGUUUUAGUUCAAUUAAAUUUCACAGGUUGUUGGAAAAAAAAACAUGGGUUGAAUAUAAUACUAAUCACUCAAAGGAUGGUAAAAUGAACAUCAUGAUUUAAUAAUUAAGCCAAUAAUGUACCUCAUCUAUUUGGAUCUCUUUAUUUUUGUGUGGCAUUUUCUUUUGUAGCUUACGACAAACAUAAUUGAAUUUAGAGCCAGACUUUUGAAUCAUAGCAUCAAUACAUGUUAAGCUAAGUUUGAAAAAAAUUAUGUAUAUUUGAUUGCACUGAUCUUUAUUUUAAAAUUAUUAUUAAGAAUAUUUUAAUGUCAGGAAACAUUUUUGGACAGAAAAUUCAAUUUAAGUUAACAAACUGAAAUUAUAAAAUUUCCAAUUAAACUGAAGUUAUGAAAAGUUUUAAUUUACUUUUUGUUUUAUCUUUAUAAUUCUUAUAUUAUUAUAUGUUUUGAAAUGUACCUACUAGUACAGUAAUGGAUAUAUUUUAUACAUUAUAUAUAUGAGAAUAUUUUAAACAGUUUUACUCAUAAAGGUACAUAGUUCAGUUGAUCCCUGAACAACAUGUAGUUUUGGACUGCGCAAGUCCUCUUAAAAGAAGAUUUCUUUCAAUAAAUGUAUAAUCAAUUGUUCAUAUAUGCUGGUUCUGAAUCUGUUAGUUCUGUACCCAUGGAUUCGGAGGGCCCUCUACGGGACUUGAGCAUACUUGGAUUUGGUUUCUGUGUUGGGUCCCGUAACCAAUUGCCUGUGAAUGUUGAGAGACAACUUUAGAAAAAUCUGGAGAUACUAGUCUAGGUUCAGUUCACUGGGAGUGAAAGAGGAAGACACAAUGCUACUUUAUCUUUCCCAGAAAAUAUAAAAGAAUGGAUCCUGCCUCCCUUUGCAUCCUCCUUUCCCCAACAGGAAUAAGGCUUUAUAAUUCAGUUCUAGGAAACCAGUCAAGUUAGUGAUGUAUUUGUACUUGAGAAAAAUUUCUACUUGAAACAGAAGAUUCAUUUUUGCAGGCAAGGCUUCUUUUCUGUGUGGCAACUUCUAAGUAAGUUAUCUAUCUAUCUAUCUAUCUAUCUAUCUAUCUAUCUAUCUAUGUAUCAUCUAUCUGCCUACCUAUGUUAUAUUUUCUUAAAAGGGAGUUUUCUAUGUGUCCAUAUGCUCUAGAAGAGAAACUUAGGUGUUUCUAUCAGCUAAGCAGAUGAGACUACAGUUAGGCAGACCGACUGAUUUAAUUUCUAUUCUUCAAAAUGGUGGUACUAAAACAACAAAACUCAAAACAAACAAACAAAAGGACUUUUUUUUUUGUCUUUUUUGUUGUUGUUGUUGUUGUUGUUGCUAUUUCUUGGGCCGCUCCCGCGGCAUAUGGAGGUUCCCAGGCUAGGGGUUGAAUCGGAGCUGUAGCCACCGGCCUACGCCAGAGCCACAGCAACGCGGGAUCCGAGCCGUGUCUGCAACCUACACCACAGCUCACAGCAACGCCAGAUCGUCAACCCACUGAGCAAGGGCAGGGACCGAACCCGCAACCUCAUGGUUCCUAGUCGGAUUCGCUAACCACUGCACCACGACGGGAACUCCAGGACUUUAAAACUUAUAUUUUUUCUCAUAUCCUUUGAAUUAAAAUAAAAGAAUAAGUUGAUCCCAUGACAACUUUUCAUUCAUUUCCUAAGGAGAUUUUAAGAGAGUGAUUGAGAACAUAUAAAGUGGAUGCUAAUCUCUAAUAAUUCUUUUAUAUUUUGAGCAUGAAAGGCCUAAGUCUUUAUAAGUCUAACAAAGGACGUUUCCCAUAUCUUUGAGAAAAUAGUGAUCUGUUGUAGACAAAUCAUUUUUAUUCUCCUUUUCUCCUUGUGCUCUUUCAAUUAGAAUUUCAUCUAGAAUAUUUCUUCUUUUAUAAUUGGGUGAUCAUAAAAUUAUCCAAUAAUUUUUGCUGAACAUUAAAAUUGUUCAAAACCAUAUAACCUGCAAUACCAAUGACUUGGUCCCUAAAUUUUGUUGCAAUUAAAUGGGAACUGGAGUCAGUUAGUGAUGGGUUAAGUUUUCGAUCUCAUCUUGUCUCAAUCAGUAGGUUGACAUCUCUAACAGAAGACCAAGACUGAUAUCAAGACCAGUUCCCUAUAAAGUCAGCAAAAUUACUCUAUAAUGGUGAAUUUGCCUUUCAUAGUUAUUAUUAGGCUGCCUGGACGUAGAUUCUGAGAUAAGAGUUGCAUGUAGAAGGUUUUUUGAGAAGUGCUCUCCAGAAAUGCACCUGUAAGGAAAUGAGAAAAGGAGAAUCAGUAGGAGGGAGUAGCUGACCCUCAAGGCAACCAAGGCAUCAGAGCCUUUAGGGAGCUCUGGAGAUGGGAUGACCCUCAGAGAUAUUCAAAACUGAAGCAAGUACGUUUUCAUUUGGAGUGGCUCGUUGACUGUAGAUUCUCCCAUGGGAGAGGGCUUAAUUUUAAGUGAGGAAAUUCCUCGUGGCUAAGGGCAUUUCUCUGUGAGGCAUGCAGCUGUGAGCUGUCAGCAGUUGGUAUUCCCAACAACUAGGGAAGGAUCCCUUAAUCCUGAGGAAGAAAUCUAGGUGGAGCAUCUAGUACCAACUCUACUUUGUAACGUAUCACGCUAUUCUGUACUCAGCCACAUAGGAUGUAUAAUAGCAGCUGGGAAGAUGAGUCAUUGUGGACUAUGGCUUUUGCUACAUGCAAAAUUAAUUAGAACUGUGCUUACUGUGGACCAUUAAGGAAACAGAGAAUAUUCAUUUUUACCCCCUUCUCUACCCAUCACAGUCAAAACCAAAGCUGAGAUACUGUUUUUGAAAGUUAACCUUAGAUUUCUUAUCCAAGAGAUUCUUCUAAAUUGGACAAAUACAAAGUUUAUAUUGGUGAUGACUGACUUAGAGGUAAGCUUUAACAUUAUGAACUCCUAAGUUUUGAGUCACUUUAAAUGGGUUUAAUUUUUUUUUCCAUUAGAUAACUGGCUUCAUGUUAAUCAUCAAGAAAGUGGUAAUGUUUCUUUUGAUUGAAUUUGCUUUCACUUAUCACAUUUGUUUAGAGUCAGAUAACAUUAAGUACGUUAGAACCGUGCAAUUCCCUACCCUCUCUUAACCAGGCAGUUCUUAAUCACUGUGAAAAGGAAACAGUUGAUCAAUUUUCAGACAGCUGAGAUGACCCUGAAAUAAUAAAUGUUGAUUUCUAUAUUAAUAAAACUAGAGAGAUCACUUAGCAAACUCAAACCUUGGUUUUCUGGAAAAUAUAAACCCAUAUAUUUUUUUAAUUUGUAGGAUUUGGCUUUGAUGAUGUCAGAGUCCCUAUCAACCCUUAAUAGUAUAAAGUUAAAAUUGCCCAGUUUAUGUGUGUGCAAGCACUUAAAUGAGGGAUGCAAAGCUGAGCAGCUUGGUUUGUUGUGACUUAUCUUGGAUCUUUAUACACGUGUGCUGCAAUCAAACCAAUCAUGCAACAAAGUGAUUUGAAUUUUUAGAUUUUUUUUCAACAUUUAUGUACUGAUGUGUUGGGGAAGCUAAAAGUGAACAUGCGUUGGUGAUAAUUUCUAUGGGAGCACCAAGCAGGUAGCGUAGAAGGCAUCCUGGAGGAACUAACAUCUGAGAUGAAUCCUUUAAAUCGAGUAAGAUUUAGUCAUGUUAAAAGCAGGAAGAUGGCAGGGAGGAUUUUUCUAGUAUGAAAGGGCAGCAAGUGCAAAGGCCUUAGAGCUUGACUGUAGUUCAUGAGAGCAAAAACAGGCUAUUUUUGGAAGAGUCAGUGAGGCCAAGGGCAGUUGGGGGAUAAGCAAGGGUCUGAUUAUAAAAACAUAUGUUGUGAGCACAUAAGACUUUAACCUAAGAACAUUGGGGAGCCAUUGAAGUGUCUAAAUAAAUAAGUCACAGGGAUAUAAUGUACAGCAUGGGGAGUAUAGUCAAUAAUAUUGUAAUAACUUUGUAUGGUGACAGAUGGCAGCUGCAUUUAUGGUGAUCAUUUUGUUAAUGUUCAAAAGUACUGAAUCACUCAAUGUAGACCUGCUACCACUCUUUUUUUUUUUUAAUUUAAACUGUU